CACCCCCCUUUUGUCAGCCCAAGUUUUCUUUUCUCUUUCUACCGCAGAGAGGAUUUUUCUUCCUUUCUUUCUCUCUCUUUCGGUUCAACUCUCCCACUCAAAUGGAAAGCCUGCAGGCUUUUCUCUCUCCUUUUUUUUUUUCCCUCUUCCUUCUUCCUCCUUUCUUAUUUCUCUAAAAGGGUUUUGUUUGCUGGGAGAGUUUCGUUUGAAAAUCAAGUCACGCCUUUUUUCCUCCUUUUCUUUCUUUCUGUUUUUUUUUUUUUUUUUCUCUCCUCUCAGCAGAAAAGGGGAACAAAGAUUAACUGAAGCGGGGGAGAGGGGGAGCGGCAGAUCCUCGCCUGGCACUGGGGGGCCCGGCACAAAGGGGCCCCGGGGCCUGGGCCCGUGGGCAGCCGGGCGCCCUGGCGAGCGCGGCGGCGGGUGGGGGCCGGGCCCUCCGAAGUGCGGCGGGGCCGCGCGGUCGCCCCUCCCGGGCCGGCGCCGGAGGCCGGGCUGCUCCUCGCUGCCGGGUUUCUCAAGUAGGCAGAUGGGCUCGGAGCUCAGCCCCGCAGAGCGCCGGACUGGGAGAGCCUUCAACAGCUGUUUGCAGAGCCCUGGACGGCAGGCUCGAGGGUGCGGCCCGGCUAGGAAGGGGCUCGGCGCCUCGGGGGCGCCCCGGUCCCCGCCUGGCCCCCCGGGCUCACUGCUGGGGGCGCCUCCUUGCAGGGCCGCGGGGCUGGGCGCAGCCUGGCCGCCCUCCAGCCCCCUGGCAGGCCGGACCCUCGGCCUCCAUCCUCCAGAACGCCCGCCACUCCGAGCCGCCUCUCGGCUCCGACGCUGGGCCCGUCCCGAGUCCUCGGACAGAACCGGGCAGAGCCGCCACGAGGGGUCACUUCUUCGUGGGGCGCCUGGGCGUGCUCGCAAGCCCUGCUCUGCCCUCUCCGGAGAAGUGGGGAGAAGACAGGGGAAAAGUUCCCAGAGCAAAGUUGGCCACAUUUCUCAUUUUCCCAAGUGAGUAUUGAGCACCUGCUGGAUGCCUGGCCCUUGGGCUGGGGCUGCUGCCAGGGGCUGGGGAGAAACGUGGGGUCGUCAUAGGCCCCGAGAGGUUCCACAGGAAACAAUGCCAGAGGAGGCCGCAGCUCGGGACCAGGUCAUCGAGAGGAAGGAAAGGCUGGAUGCUCUCCCCUCCCUCCUCUCUUCCUUCCCCUUCUCUUCCUUCCUCCCGGCUGCAUCUCCUUGGCUCCACCCCUUCUCCUCAUCAAUUCCUCCCACACUUCCCUGCUCUCCCCGGCUUUUCACUGAAGGGUCCCUUCUCCCAGCGAGGAACAGAUGCUGCGCCCCAUUGUCUCUCCCCCCCCCCCCAGUGACUGCCGCCUCCCGGGGACGGGACCUGCCACUCUUCACCCCUCCCCCCCAGCGCGGAGGCCUGGGUCUUUAGAGACUGGAGCCCCAAGGCCACUGCCCCUCACCCCACCUCAACCAGCUCCUGAUCUUGUGAGCAAUGACUCCAGUCACUCAGAACGUGAUUUGUUUCUGACCGGGAGUGAGAUAAACAGUAGCCUGGAACUUUGCCUUAGCAAGGAAGACACCAUGUUAACAUCAGUGCACUGAGUCCCCGAUGACCCACUACCCCCGCUUCGUAGAUACGGGAAGCCACAUUUCUGUCAUUUUAUAUCCUCCCACUUAGUACAACUAAGCUGUAUCUGCAAACAAAGCAAAACACAGCUCAGAUAGUCAAGCAUUCAUUUAACACACACUUCCUGAGGACCUGCUCUGUGCCCGCCACCGUGCUGGGUGCUCAGGACGCAACCAUAGCAUACACGGCCCUCGCUUGGUCUUUGCAGACUGGCAGACAGGCAACCACAAUGCUGUGUGAUGCAUGCAAGGAUGGACCAAGGAAGCACCUAAGAGGGUACUUGGGUUAGAGUGGUCAGGGAUGGCUUCCUGGAGGAGGUUACAUCUAGACAAGUAGCCCGUGCCAGGCAAAUGCCUGGGAAGGUGCAGCCUGUCUAGAGGCUCCAGGGCAGGAGAACACAUUCUCACAGAUUCUUAGAACUGCCACAAGUAUUUGCUGCAGUGUGGAGUACGAGGAGGAGAGUGGGGAGUGAGGACAGUGUCAGGGCACGAGUGGGGGAGGGGUGGGUAUCAGGGAGAUGUUCAGAUGGUAGCCCCUCCUGUUCGCUAACCCCAUGACCUUAAUGAGAGCCUUCGUGGAUGACUUAGACUUGGUUUCCUCACUGAUAAAUGGGGGUAGGAAGAGCUAGGGCUGUAGAGACAGGGUCCAGGUUUACUUGCUGUGUGUCCCUGGGCCGGUUGACCUGAGUUUUCUCAUCUGUAACACUGCAAUGAAAACACCUGACUCACAGGGUUGUUGUGAGACUUAAUGAGCGCAGGUCCAGCACAGUGUCUGGUACAUAAGCGCCCACACAUCUUAGCUUUCCUUUGUUAUUAUUAUAAAUCGGGGAGUGACUGGGAGGUGCCCUUACCACCUGGAAAUGAGAUUAUCUUCUGGGUUGGAACCAGAAUGACUCACCAUGCCAGAAAUGCAGUGAGCUGGCUGUGGAGGAAGCAUUCCGUCUAAGAUGCCCUGUGUCCCAACGGGUGGCUGGGCUUGGGGUACACCUGCGUCUGAUCAGGAUGGCCAGGGUGUCUCAGGAACAUGAGUGGAAUGUGGAGACUGGUGAUGAAGGCCUGGCCUGAUCAGCAGAGUUAUGGCCUGCCUGAAGAACAAAGGAAUCAGAAGAGAAUGGGCCUCAUAAAAUCCAGGAGGGCCCCUAGGAGGAGGCAGCUGGCUCUGUUUGCUCAGUGGAGAGAAGUAGACACAGAAGUUCACGCUGUGGGGGAGAGAAGGGGCGAAGGGGUUAUUGACUCCUCCAGAGCCCCCGAAUUAAAUCUGUCAAAAGCUCUUAGUCUUUUGCUUGGGUUCCUCGUUCCCCAAGCAUCCUGCAGAGGAACUGGGCACCAGCGAGAUGCCCCCUGGAUCCAGGUAGACACAAGUGUUCCAGUUCUGCGUUGUAAACACUUCACGUUGCUGUUAUUUCUUUAUGACACAAGUUCAUUGUGAAAGAAUUUGAAAAUCAGCUAAGCAGAACUGAAGAAGAACCCCCGUGGAGACAUUAUAUUUGGGUGCAUAUCCCUGGACACUUUAUAGCUACGCAUCUACAUGUAAAUGCACAUUGUAAUAAAACUAUGUAAAUGUUGUUAAGCAAAUGAAUGACUUUACAUGUAAAUACAUUAUUUUUACCAAAUUAACAAAAUGGCAUAACACUAUGCUUACUGAAUGGCAGCCAUUUUUGCCCAGUAAUAUGUCACAAAUACAUUUCCCUGUCUACAAACAUCCCCAUUAUCAUUCUUAGCGAAUGAUAUUAUUCUGUGGUAUGCGUGUAUCUUAAUUUGUUUAAACAAAUCGUUGAACCCAGGGGAGGUUUCGGUGGUUCCCUUUUAUGGACCUGCUGUGAGAGACAUACGUGUUCAGUUACCUUUGUGCCAGGUAGGGGUCCUAUGCUGCCCAUUUUACCUAUAAGGAGACUGAGUCACAGAAAAGUUGAAAAACUUCCCAGGGUCACAGCUAUGAGUGACUGAGCCAGAAUUUGCAGCCAGAGUUUCCAAUUGGGAGUUCCUGUCUGCAUCUCUGUUUUCUACUUUUCUUCAGAGCAACUGUGCCCUGCACGUACCUCCCCACUGUCUUUUUCUCUCACAGAUUGCCUCCCUGUGAGAACCUGUCUGGGCAGGUGACCCACUUCCUUCUGUGACACCUUUUACCUUCAGUAAUGUCCACCUCCUGGGGUUGUUGGGAACAAUGAAGUAGGGAGGAUGCAGGCAUGCCACAGACCUUCCAGAAUGUUCAUUGCCAUCUCUGAAGACCUGACGAAUCUUGUAAACUCAGAGAAGGGAGGAAACACAGCUCUUCAGUGUUUCAGUUGACAUAUUCAUCAGAGUCACUGCCAGGAGAUUAGCAGAUCUGGAAAUCUAUUCGAGAGAAAGAAUCAGCAAUGUGGACGAAGAUGUGUGUUAAGGAUGUUGAUCAAAGUAUUACUUAUUUUGGCAAAAAUUACAAACCAAGGGGCUGGCCCCGUGGCCGAGUGGUUAAGUUCGCGCGCUCCGCUGCAGGCGGCCCAGUGUUUCGUUAGUUCGAAUCCUGGGCGCGGACAUGGCACUGCU